AUGCGGAAUAGUCUCGCUCCUGUGCUCGCCAUUAUAUCAUUGAUGGGACGGAGUCUCCAGUCUUCAGUCGAGCAGUCGGUUCCUGAAGUGACGGUCAAGGAGGAAAGCAGUGUCACACUGAACUGUACCUUUAAAUGGAGCGACAGUCGAACUUACGUCUACUGGUACAGUCAGCACCCCGGGCAACCUCCACAGAACCUGGUGCGAUUUGUCGGAGGGAAGUUCAGAAGGAACUCUCGCGCUUCUGACCGUUUCUCAUGUACAUUCAGUGCAACUGGCAAGAUUACUGAGCUCACCAUCAGUAAAGCCCUGGCCUCCGAUGCUGCUGUGUAUUUUUGUGGCAAGGACGUCACACCGUCACAGAACUGCAGGGAGACGCUGUACAAAAACCUACCCCGAAGUUCCCUGUAA